AUAUAUAUAGAGAGAGAGAGAGAGAGAGAGAGAGAGAGAGAGAGAGAGUUUUGCUAGAAUACUAUCGGUAUUAAAUCGAGCCGUUUACUACCGAUUUGUUUUCAAUGAUAGAGCUGCCAAAUCGACGAUCGGCAUCUUUGAACAUGAUCUAGACCAUUUAAAUUAUCUAGAAAUCAAAUUUCAUGAUUUUUUGACAUCACUAACUAAACGAUCAAAGGGUCACAAAAUCUAUAAUUUUAAUGAUCGAUAUGGUGCGUUUGUUCGUUUAACGGUGUAGAAGAGUUCAAAUCAACUAAAUUUUUGUUAGAAAAUUCUUUAAACUAUUUAAAAUAAGAUCUAGACUCUAGAUUUCAAAUAUAAAAAUUGUAUCAUCACUUUUUGAAGGAUAUUCAUCUCCAGCCAUUCAUUUUUCUGUUCACUUGAUGGAGAAGAGAACAAUAUCAAAAAUGUGUGAAAUUUGAUUUCCAGAUAGUUUAAUAGUUUAGAUCGUGUUUAACGGUGCCGAUCAUCAAUUUGGAAGCUCUAUCAUCGAAAACAAAGCGGUAGUAAACCGAGCCGUUUACUACCGAUAGUAUUCUAGCAAAACUCUAUAUAUAUAUAUAUAUAUAUAUAUAUAUAUAUAUAUAGGGUCCGAUUACUAUACUAUUAUGAGUACGAUCGUCCUCAUACUCAUAAGUUGUUUCGAUGAUAGAGCUUCCGAAUUGACGAUUCACACCGUUAAACGUUAUUUACAGCAUUUAAAACUUCUAGAAAUCAAAUUUUAUAAUUUUUCGACAUCAUUUACCUUACGAUCAAGAUGUCACAAAUUUGACAAUUUUUAACAGCCGGUAUAGGAUACUUGGUAGUUUAACGGUGUAAAAGAAUCAAAAUUUAUUGAAUUUUUGAUAGAAAAUUCUAUUCACUACAUAGAUAAAGAUCAAUAACUCCGAUCUUGAAUUGAAGGAUCUGAUCAUACUUUUUUAUAACGUCGUUCGAUUUUGACCGUUCAUUUUAUGCCCACUUGAUGGACUUUAUUAUGAUUUCGAAAAUUUACGAAAUUUAUUUUCUAAAAGUUUCAAAUACUCUAGAUCAUAUUUAACGGAGUGGAUCGUCGAUUCGGAAGCUCCAUCAUUGAAAACAACUUAUGAGUACGAGGGCUCCAAUACUCAUAAUAGUAUAGUAGCCAUGUCCUAUACCAUUCUCAAUGCUUGGUGUAAAAGAAAGUGAAAUAAAAAAUCAUAUUUAUUCUGAAUCUACACGUAUCCUUCUAUUGAGGGCGAAUAUUAUAUACUUUCGAUAUAUGAUUACUCCAAACCAAGUACUUGUAGCUGGAAUCAUUGAACGUGAAGAGGAUCAUGAUGAAGACAAACGAUUAAGAACAAGAUUAUAAUAUUUAUUAAACAAGUAUAAUAAUGCUAUGCGUAAUUAAUUGGAGAAGUAAAUGACAAGAGAAUUCAGACGCUGAUAAUUGUUGCGUGAAAGAUUAAUCUAAUAGAAAAAUAGUCUACAAAUAAUCUUAGCAUCUUUGCCCAAAACUAAGGAGAAGCACGCCACUGCGGAGAGUAAUUAAAAAGUUGAUCUCUUACAAGAGAAAGAGUUUACAACUUAAUACUGAUACCAUGUUAUGUAAAAGAUCAAUUUAAUUGGAAAUAAAUUAGAAAUAGACUGAACAAGAACAAUAUUAUAAAAAAGGAACUAAUAAACUCUACUGUAUUGUACUUUAAUUAGUAUUAUUUUCGUUUGCUAUAGUGUACCUUUUUUUUUUUUUUUCGUUUCCAAAGACACCAUUGCAUUAAUAAAUUUUAUCAAUUUCUACACUAUAUGUCAAAUUUAUCUCUGUUUAGGCUAAAAUAUAGAAAAUCACAUGAAAAUAUCUUUUUUUUUUUUUAAUUUUUCUCCCCCACAUUCAAAAAAAUCUAUAUUUUACCUUUUUUAAAAUUCAGAAAAUUUUUUAGGGGUUAUGGCAUUAAUGAAGAGGGUGAAAUGACUAAAUUGCUCUUAUUUGUUUUAUUAAAAAAUAUUUGUUUUAUAUAUUUCUAAUAUUUUAAGGGUAUUUUCGGUAUAAAUUACAAAACAAUAAAAUUUCGGAAUAAUUGUUUUUAAAAAUGGAAUAAAUAGUGACAUAACCUUGGCGGAGGUACAUCAACUUGAAAUUUUAAAGGGGUAAAUAUAUAUAUAUUUUUUUGAGAUAGGUAGCAUGCUAUCCGCUUUGUUUAUUUCAUUUAGAAAUAAACUUAGCUGGAAAUGUGAAUUAACUAGAAUUCAAACUUGGGACCUCGGAUAUCAACCACCAAACUCUUUGCCACUUGCUCCAGAGACAGCCAGUAAGGGGUAAAAUAUAGGUUUCUAAAAGUUAAGGAGGAAAUGUGAAAAGGCGAAUAUUUAUAAAGUGUUUUCUAUAAUUCAGCCCUUUAUUUUUCUACCUUGUACUAUUUUUUUUGUAUAGAUAUCACUAAACUAUUUCUUUCUUGCCAAUUUCUACACUAUAACAACUAUUAUUUUAAAUAAAAUAUAAUAACUUUAUUAAGAUACACAAGUUAAAUAGUAAAAAAAAUAUAAAAUAAAUUAUCAUGAUAAGCUUAUUACAAGUUUCUAAUGAGUUAUUUUAAUUAUAGUUUUGUUAUUUUAAUGUAUUUUAUUACUCUUAUAUCAAAAUGAGUUGAAUAUAUACUCUGCCACUUUAACCAGUAUUUUUUUAACACUAUUUAUGUAAAAUUAUAGGUUUGUUUAUUAUGUAGAAUUGAAAAAAGAAUAAUUUAGUGAUGAACUUGAAAAAAAAAAAGCACAAUAUAUAAAAAUUUUAAAAAAUAUAAAGUAUAGUAUAGUUAUUGAAAUUGAACUGAAUUUUCAAGCCGUUGACUGAGUCAAACGUUGGCCGAAUCAAAAUUCCUCUGAUUUGCGGUUCGGCUCUUUGAAUGACCCCUGACAACGUGAUCAGAUGAUAGGUUGAGGAAGGAUCGGCUCAACCAGAUUCUUCCUCAAAAUGUAAAAUGAAAUGAACUCAGAAGCUUAAAAGCGAAUUUGGUUGAAACUAUAGCCGCACUAAUUAUAUUUCGUUAAUUGAGGAGAAGAAUGUUACAAGAAUUGCAGAGCACUAAGGCUCGAAUUAUAGAUAACUAAAAACUACAGCCUGCUCUUAGAAAAAUAGUAAAUGCUGGAAAUAGAAAGAAAUAUAAAAAUAGCAGUCCUCUAUGAAAAAAGAUUCUACUGCAGACAAUUUUUUGCUAUUUAUAGAAUUUCUGCCAAUUUUAAAUUAGCCUGCGGUUAUUUGAUGAUUUGUUUCGUGGUGAUUGCUCUAGCCACUUUCUUGUUGGUUACGAAAUCGCUCCCACACGUUUUCAACCAUUCCUGCCCAAAACUCAUUCGUCUUUUGGCGUUUCUUUUUCGGCUCCUAAUGCACAAUGUGCCCUUUUUCUUAUUCGUCCACAUGAGCCAAACACAUGAGUCGAGCAGACUACCAGCAAGCACUAUUUUUCUUGCGCUACAAUCGCCCUUUGGUAUUCUUCCAAACGAACAUUCCGAUGACCAACGGUGUUGAAUCUACGGCUCUGAUCAACCAUAUCCACUAGCCCUAACUUCUCAUUUCACAUUUAAUGUCACCGUCAUCAUUUAAAUCUCUUUCAAUCGCAAAUCCUUUUGUAUUCUUCAGAACUCUUCAUCUCCUCAAUCAUCUUUUAUGUCACGCCUCGAGACCACCACUUUAGCCGGUUCGAGCACGCAUACAGCCCGCCGAACGGAUAGAGUUUUUUCUGUACAUCCAAGGCAUCACAAUCAAUACAAUUCAAGAGCUCCCAUCCAGGAACAGAAUUCAUACACAGAUUAUAUACAAGGAGGGCAUCAGAAAUAUAAACAACUACGCUAUUAUAAGCAUUCACUUUACAUUCACAUUAUAUUUACAUUCUUCCAAACAUAAUCAACUUUAUUACAAUUUUGUUUCUUUCUUUUCUAUACCCUAAGCUACACUGACCCAGGGUACAUCUAUCUUUGGUCACAAUGUGGUAGGGCGCUAUCUAUCGAGCUACGCCAUUUUCUUGUGCCGCAGCGCCGCUCACGUGUGGACCUGAAAAACAUGGGGGUGAGAACUAUAAACAUAGUUCCCAGUGGGUACGGCCACCCAAGGGAAGAGGUCAACCCAUCAGAUACAAAGAAGACAACAUAAGCAGGUUAAUCUAAUAUAUAAAUAUAUAUCCAUAAAUGCAUAUAACUUUACGAUAUGCAAAUAGUAUCAUAAUGCUUAUGCCUCAAUCAAAUGCAAUAAUGAAAUCCAUGCAAGUAGAUAUUCUUCCUCUACUUUCUAUUUCACAAUCUAUUACAUAUCCAAUCCGCUCCUAAGGUUCUUUUACCAUAGCCAAGUUACACUGCCCGACUCGAUUUUGAGUCAAUCAUCAGCGGACUACCGCUCUUGCUCAGGCUUGAGAAGAGGAACAUGUCGUGCACCUUAGCCUUCAAUCCACUCAACAGGUGAGGGAUAUACCACAAGCACCUUCGAAAUCAAGGUGCCCGACGGGCGGUGAAAAAGCUGUGUACACCUGCCCGCGGUCAGGAAUCCCCCGGUGGGAGAGGAACAUGCCACAUACACCCGUAGCCGCGAUCCCCGAUAGGGAGAGGAACAUGCCACAUACACCCUGGCGCAUGAAAAUUCUUCCAGUGGGAGAGGAACAUGCCACAUGCACCCAUGGCCAAGAAUCUUUCACAGUUACAACCCUCGAAGUUCUUGCGGUAGGAGAGGAACAUGCCACAUGCACCCACGGCCAAGAACUAUCGACGGUCACAAGUCUUGGAAUUCCGAAAUCCACUUUCCAAGUCUAAAGGGUUCAUCAUUUAUCCUAAGUUGUCAACUUCUCUAGGUUCAUAGUCACACGUCCAAGUGGUUAUCCUACCACUAUGUUUUUCAACCUAUAUUUAAUAACACUAGGUUCAAUACCACUAUAUUUCAUAACCUAGGCUCAACAACACUAGGUACUAGGUCCUAUGUUCUUCCUACCUAGGUUCACUCGACUCUAGAUUUAAUGACAUUCCAAUCAAAGUGGUCAUCCUAGCACUAUGUUUUCCAACCUAUGUUCAAUGAUACUACAUUCAAUACCCAAUCAUAUUCUUUCAUAUCCUAGUUAUCCACACCUAGGAUUCAUGAUUUCAUGAUAUCUAGUCCUUGAUUUCUUACUUGUCGAAUUCUCUAAUUUUUCUAGAGUUUACCGACCUAUGUUCAUCAUCCACANAUAAUCUUUAAAAUUUGAGUAUAAGACUUUUAAAUUCAAAAUCAAGAAUGUUAACCUUAAUCUAGAUAGUUUAAAGUAUUUUCUAUCAAAAUUUGAAGAAAUUUAGAUUCUUCUACAUCGUUAGAUUCCAAACUAGUCAUAGUAGCCAUUGAAAAUUGACAAGUUUGAAAUGGUUUGAUCAUAAAGUAAACUAUGUCGAAAAAAUAUAAAAUUUUAUUUCUAAAAAACUUUAAAUAUCCUAGAUCAGUUUUAACAGUGUGGAUCGUUGAUUUGAAUAACCAAAAAUCGAAAACGAGACUAUAGUACCAGAGCCCUGAUACUAUAGAUAGUAUAGGAGAUUAGCUCUAUAUAUAUGUAGUCCGGCUGGGAUACAAUCGAUAGCACAAAGCAUUUGUGCUAUCAAGUUUUUUGCCGUUAGAUUUACCUCUUUUAUCACUUUCAUCCGCUCGAUUAUACUAUUCAACUAACCACCCACUCAACCUUAGGGGGCCCACAUUAUUCUAAUCAUACAUCUUUUAAUCUAAGGGCGGAAAACUUAAUAGCACCAAGUCAUUGGUGCUAUUAAUAGUAUUCCAGCCCCUCUCUCUUUCUCUCUCUCUCUCUCUCUCUAUAUAUGUCUCUACAUGCCUAUUGUUCUUGUCCAAUGAUAGGUAAUUUCAUCUAGUAACAAAUAAUUCAAAUAUCCAUAUUUAUCAUAUACAACCUACUAUUAUAUAUAUGCAUCAAUAAUUAAUAUCAUACUUUACUCUUUUGACAUGAAAGCGAUCAAGUCAUUUUGGUGAAGCACAAUCCACCUCACAACGCUUCCGAUUGCUUGUAGGCACUUGCAAUCGGACUCUCGUGGCCAACGACGCCCGAUUUGGCUCGUUACUGGAAGUUGAUCACCGAAUGCUCGUCGAUUUCGAAAUCAAAGUUGUCUAGGGCUCUCCUCUAAACUUCAAUUAGAGAACUAGAGGAUCAAUUUGGUUCAUAACCUCAAAACCCCAAAACCCCCAAUUCUAACCCUAGAUUCCAAUUUCUCCAAAAAUACCUCAAAAUUCAUGGAGAAAUCUUGAUUAAAUAAAUGGAGAAUCAUCUAGGAAACUAGAAAUCUCGAUUUCAAGGGAUUUAAAAAAACCCUAAACUUUAAAUCCCGAAAACUCACCAUGGCCUCAAGUCCACCAAGCUCCCACACGCGCACGAGCUCGAUUCACCAUUCUCUACGCGUUCCCGAGCUCAAACCCCACCAAAACCCCAACAUUGGGAGAGAUUUAAAAGGGGAAGAGAGGAGAUUGUGAGGGAGAGGGAGAGCUUCUCUCUCUUUCUCACCAUGCGUGUGUGUGUGUUCGGCUGAGGGAAAAGAAGGAGAGGGUCCCAUAUAAAGCCCCCCAAAUUACCAAAAUACCCCUUGAACUGGGCUGUCAGCACGCGUAGGUUUUGGAACUUGCUUCAUGUUUCGAAACCUAGCUCAAUUUUCGUGCAGUGCAGUCAAGUUCCGGAACUUGGGUUCAAGUUCCGGAACCCAAAAGUCCUUAGCUCAAAACGCAAUUUUUAAAAAUUCUCGUUUUCGCUCCUUGAAGCUCUAAUGCACUUCUAAUCAUUCUAAAACCCUCAAAUCUCAUUUUUGAGCAUGUUUAAAUUGCUUCUCAAUUGUACUUUAUCCAAUUGGCCCAAGUUUAGUAUAAUGCUUCAAAACUUAGUACCUUACAUUUUAAACUUCUAAGUUCUCUUCUUUUUUCUUCCAUCUAACUUCUUCGGCCUAUUACUUUCUUUUUCUAAUGGCCCCUACUCGAUUUCCUUUUUUCUCAAACCUUUAAGAUUGAUUAUUACUUUCUUAAACCAUCUGGCGAAGAUCCUUCUCUCUUCAUCUUGAGUCCUUCCUUCGUAGAAAACACUAACAAAAACACUUUCCUUUUCAGCUGAAGGCAUAUCCUUAACAGCGGACACUACUUAUCUUCAGUCCUAAUCUUCUUCUAAAUCUCUAAGAAGAAGUCUACAAACUUGGCUUAUGACCUUUGAUGCCUACAUCGCCUGACUCAACCGAGUCUAGAAAGUUUAUGAUGUCCUAUAGCAAGAGGUUGGGAUCUUUGAGGCGAUCCAACUUAGGGGUGCAUCCUCAAGUUGACAAUCUCCUCUUUGCUUCUGCCUUAAGUUUUUGAUUUUGGCUUCAAAUACUUUCUUCUUCAGAUCAGAACCUUUCACUCCAAUCAUGUUUGAUAUGGCCGGCAUCACCGAUAUUUGCAUGCAUGGCACCAUCAUCUCUGACUCUUAAUCUUGAUGGUCCUGCUAAGUUCGACGCGAAUUUGGACCGAAAAAUGAAUCUUGCCUAUACUAAAUUCAUGAAGAGAUUCUCUUAUCGCGGUCGAACGUCCUAAAAUCCAGUACGUAAGGAGGAUUACAUCGCCUUCCUUUUAUGCUAGUUAUGCCAUAGUUCCUUUCACACCCAAUCUCAUAACAUCAACCGGGAUUUUGUCUCAAUUGCCGUCGCUUUAAUGAACGGUUUUUGAUUAAUGGUGAAAAACUUUCUCUCGGUUCUUACUUUCUCUCUUUCUUGCACCAAGAGAUUUUUGAGUCAAUCAAGCCACUGCACAAGAAGAAAAGCGGCGCUAUCAUUAGUUCUAGCUGUAGGGUCUUUCGGUUUCUUCAAAGCUGCCUCCAGCUAUAUUUUCCUUUCUUUGUCGUGCUUUUCUCUUCCAAGUUCACUUCAACAAUGCAACACCCAUGAACUAGCACUCAGUUGCCCAUAACCAUUCACCUCAGGUUAACCCUCAGACUUCUCAACUUAUUUUUGAGUUUUUUUAUUCAGAAGAAAGCCGAGGUGAAUAGUUCUGGGCCCCUUUCAGACCACGAUUAAUUGGUCCUUACUGGUUCAGAGAGCAUUUUGAAUAUAUCCAUAACCAGAUGGACUUACCAGAAGUCUCUAAUCAUAUCGAGGUGUGGUACUCUUUUCUGGCAGCAUGAGAUCUCUAUAUCGAGAUUGAAGCUUGCGUUGAGCAUGGUAGUUUAUAUUACGGAUUUUAAAUUGGCUGGGGUCACAGGAGNNNNNNNNNNNNNNNNNNNNNNACCUUUCCGUGAAGUAAGUCGGAGUCUUGAAAGUUUAAGGAAGAAAAGACGAAGAUCGAAGACUUAAAGACGCAAAACAUGAAUCCACAAUGCUCAGUAAGUUUAAAUAAUAUUGAUGAUGAUUUUGAUUAUCUACAUAUGUUUGGAAGACAUUAUAAUAGAGAAAAAUUGAUUUAAAAUAUAAAAAUUAAGUUUUUCAAGUUUCAGGCUACGAAUCCUGUUGGAAGGUCCAGAACCUGCAAGCCUUCUUGGCUGGUAGGUUAUCAAGGUUAGGACCUUGGCAGGCAAGGUCCGAACUUUCAAGGUCCAGGCGCUGCAUUUAAGGUCCGGAACCUGAACUCGACACAGAUUUUUUAAAUUCAGUUUUUCAAUUCUAAUCUGAUUCUAAUUGCUUCCAAACCUAUAAAUAACAUGUGGGAGUGUCUCUAAAAUGUGGUUAAGCAUAUUUUAUCUUUUAAAAACCCUAAAAGCUUGUAGGUAGCCGUCCUUCUCAUCUUCUAUAAUAAACUUCUCUCAAAUUGAUUCUUAGUGCCAUAAUUCUUGAUGUUCUUCUAGAAUUAAUUUGAGAAUUGCUUAGAGAUUAUUCCCACAGAUCUUUAAUAAUAUUUUAAGUAAUAAAUCAUCACAAACCGUAUUGUUCUUGCUCCGGACAGAGUGUGCCCGUGAAUUCGAGUGUGCGUCGUGGAUUCGGCGUGAUCAAGGUUUCAUGGAUCCAGGACAUGGGGUGUGGACAACCCGGCAGCGUGCGCGAGAUCCGUGUGAGUUAAAAGAAAGGUUAAGCCCAUGGAUUGGUAAUAACUUUGUAACAUUUUAUUUUUUAGUGGAUUGUUAUCGCGUGUUGGUCCCAUGGAUUUUUUACUCCUGGUUGGAGUUUUUUCACGUAAAUCUUGGUGUCCUAUUUGAUUUUUCGCAUUUAUUUUUAUUGCACCGAAUUUGUGUUUUUGACCGUUAUAUACCUAUUCAUGCCCCUUUAGGUAAUUGAUAGUAUCUAGAUAGAUUCUAGGGUUUUCCAUAACCUACAAUUGGUAUCAGAGAUAGAUCUAGAUUUAUCUAUCAUUAUGGGUAAAGUGGUAACAUUAAUUGACUUCCGCUUUUUGAUAACACAAACUAUGCUUAUUAGAAGGUUCGCAUGAGAGCUUUUCUAAUAGCCAUUGACGUGCAGCUUUGGCAAUCUAUUGAGUUUGGAUGGGAACAUCCUACUGAAAAGGUCGAUAAUGUUGAUGCUCCAAAACCUCGGAAUAAAUAGAGUAAGGAAGAGAGAUUUAUCUUCUUACAAUGGAAGGGGAAUUAAUGCUUUAUUUAAUGUUUUAUCUCAAACUGAGUUUUCACACGUCUCGACGUGUGAAAUGGCGAAGGAGAUUUGAGAUACUCUCUAAGUUACGCAUAAAGAAACUAGCUUGGUAAAAGUCCAAAAAUUACAAAUGCUAACAAGUAAAUUUGAUUCAAUUUGUAUAGACGAACAUGAGACCUUUGCCGAGUACUAUACUCGUCUUCAAGACAUAAUUAAUACAUGCGCGAAGUUGGGAAAGAAAAUCUCAGAGCCCAAAGUUGUAAAAAAAAUUUUGAGAACUCUUCCGGAAAGUUUCAUUCGAAGGUUGCGGCAAUUGAAACCGUAAAACAUCCGGAUGAUUUGAAAGUUGAGAAUGUCACGCCCCGGGGCCGAUUUUGAAAGCCUUUUUAUAAUGAAUACAAUAUUUUAAAUUAGAGUUGUAGAAAGCGUGCCUUUUUUUUUGAAUUCAGUCUGGCCCAUGUGACGUACAAAUCCGCCACAAAUACAAAGUUUCUCUGGCCACACGGACAUAGUCUCCUUUAUAUUUGCACGGCGUACCAACAACAACAUUAGGAUCACAACAACAAACUACAUUUACCAAUCCACAAGCACUUCAUGCAAUACAUUUUCAUACAGCUAGCGAUUCGUAGAGAUGAUGCAUGCCUCUAAACACUCCUUAGACACUGGAUGAUGGGAUACACAAUACAACAUUCAUCCUAUUAAAAAGUGCUCCCCAUCCAGAAGCUUUAUUUUUAAACUCUAUUUGAUCAUCCAUAAAAUCAUUUGAAAAUAUUUUUAAAACUGUUUCCUACUCGGAAACUCCAUUUUGAAAAUCGACUACCUCGAGGGGUAGAAAAACCACAAUGCAUAAAUACGUAAAACUAAAACCAAAGAACCAUAAAUCUCCAAUUGAAAGCAUCAUAGGAAAACAUCAACUCAAACCAGUUCACGAACAUUCAAACAGUAAUAGUGAUCAUCUAACUGAACCAUUUAAUUAAUUAAAUUACUAAGCCGGAAAUGAAACAUAACCAGGGUGACGAUCGUUACUGCAGUUUAGCUAGAACAUCCUCCCAUUGUGCCAAAAGCUAACUCCCUGCCCGAGCCACCUGGGAAAAUGAGGGAGUGAGAAACCACAAUCAAGGUUUUCCAAUAGGUACGACAGAGCCACGAAGACAAAUCGUAUUCAUGAAAAAUAAAGGAGAUAGAACAACAGGUAUGUAUAUGGCAUGAUAUAAGAACAACUAUAGUAGCUAUAACAACAGAUAUAAUAGAGAGCAAAUAAUAAAAACUGCUACUGUAAGGAAUACAAUACUGAGCAUGCCUCAAGGUAAUCAAACCAAAACUGUACCCAAUCUGGUGCUUGCUAUAUUGGUCCGCAGACCUCAAGCGUUGCCUGUCACAAUGCCUGCACCGACCUGAUUCAUGCAUCCACUAGACGACCCAUUCGGAUAAGUACACCCCUGGUCGGUGGUCAAACCGACCUGGUGUCAUUGAAUACACCCAAGUGCUAUGACUAGAUCAUGCUGAUAUGCUCGAUGCGAAAACCGGCAGAAAGCCGGUGGCUUGGCCGAAGCCAGAUACAAUGGCGUACAACGCCGAACCACGAUCAACUAGAUCGAAACACACGACAAAGUAGUCGAUGUAUUGCCUGGACCCAAGGUCCACAGAUAUACAACAUUUGCAAGCCUGCUCUACAUGUCUAUCAUCAACUAUUAUCAUGCAAUCAAUAAGGUAUAGAUGAACGAACGAUAAACAAAAUUAACCGACAUGUAGAGACUACGAUACUGAUAUAGAAGAACAGAGGAAAGCGAAACGAUCUCACCGACUACUAACUCGAAACACCCACCUGUCACUAUUGCGUCGGCAACCUGGGUGUGCAGCAAGUCAACCGGACCUACGAGGAUCCACCGAGUCAGUAUCCAACCCAUCAAACCAAAUAACCAACUCACGAACCACACAUAAAUCCCCGUAAUCGAUUUUCUAAAACUGAUCACCGUAACUCGUCGGAAGUUCCGAAAAUUACACCGAGACGCCGUCGGAACCCACUAAGUCCUGAAACAAACCGACUCGUGCCACGAGUCACCGGCUAUCACAAAACACAUCGAUUUGGAUGUCUUGAUAGCAAACACAAGAUUACACGACCAAACAAUUAUCGGCAGAUAAUUGUUCGGAUCCGGCUUCCCGGAAGUGUCAGUUUUGACAUCGGAACCCACCGUCGCUCACCCAUCAUCACCGAACUCAUGAUACGAUGAUGGUGACCAGCCGACAAGGCUCAGCGACAACUCUCAGGGCAAACAAAUACCGUCGGAUGAAAUGUGAACUGAAACAGCGUUCCGCCGGCGAAUUUUGCCGAAAAAAGCACCGAAAUCGAUAUUCGAUUUCUGCAAAGGCUAACGGACCUUGGACGAUCAAUCCAGAGGUCACCUACCACAUAAACAUACUGCCCAUAGUAGCCACAAGAUGCAAAAUUGCAUAAAAAUCCCUACAUUUACAUAAAAUCCUAUUAUUUUAUGUAAAUAGGGCGGUUUUGUGACUCGUUACCGCAAACCGAGGGUUUCCAAGGUCAGCCAAGACACGUACUGACAGGACUUGACAUGUCGGAGGGCGUGCUCAUGACCCAGAGCACAAUGGCUCACUGUGGGAGACACGGGAACGACCCAAAAAUCUACAAACUGCGUGCACUCAGGGUAAACCGUGCCCAACAAGCCGAUUCGGAAUCUGUUGAUCCAAAGUGAGGUGAGCAUUGUGAUCAAUACUGACCAGCGAUCACCGUGCUCACCUCUGGAGGUAUCGGAACAGUCUUAGAUCGCCGAGAAAAUAAGCACAAACCCAAAACUAUGCACAAAUAGCACAAAAUAAGCUCACCGGGUAGAGAGGGCUCGGAUCUGGCCAGCGGUGGCUCGGCGGCGGGCGUGCCGGUGACAGGAGGGUGCUGCCGGUGAAGGGAGGUCGCCGCUCACGUGAGUCACCGGCGGGAGGCAGUUGGAGGGGCGGGCGGCGAUGCUCUAGCCGACAUGAGAAGAGGGAAGCUCGGGCUCGUCUUCUCCUGCGACGGCGACCUGGGGGCGACGCCGAUCAGCGGCGAGGGUCCCUCGGGGUCCCAAGGAGGAGAAAGGAGGCGGCGGGCGACGGCGGUGGUGGCCCGCAGCUCAGGCGUGGCCGCCCGAGCUUGGCUAGGUGUGAGGGUCGCCGGAGCUGCGCCCUAUGCGUUCGGCGGUGGCGGCGACCACUCCAGCAGGAGGCGGGGGUGCCGGAGGGCCGCGAGGGAGGUCGCGGGUGCAGCUCUGGGCGGGGGCGGCGACGGUGCGGGAGGGGUUGCGAGCUCAGCUCAGCCCGAGCUCGCCUAGGGAGCCCGCAGGGUGGCUGCAGCAUGGCGGCGGCGCUUGGCGACGGCGACAGUCGACGGGGGAGGUCGCCGGGGCUCCAGAGGAGAAGCCAGGGGUGGCCUCAGGCGGCGGCGGCGCGAGGGAAGGGAGCUGAAGCUCCCUCGGCCGGAGCUGGCCAACUAGGCCACAAGGUGGCUGCAGUGCGGCGGCAGCGACCGGCCGGGGGAGGUCGCCGGAGCUCAGGGGUGACGCUGGAGAGGGGCCAAAGGGAGGGAAGUGUCCAGCACCACCUUCGGCCAAAGAAGACAUGGAGGGAAGCGGUGGAGGAGAAGAAAAAGAAAGAGGAUGUGGCUAAGGCUGCGGCUGCUGGCCGGGGCUCUGUCGGCGGCGGCCGAGGCUCGGUCGACGACGGUCGGGAGGCGCACGGCGCACGAGGUGAGGUGGAAUAGGCGGCUGGGAGUCAGCUCGGGGCUAGGGUUAGGGUUUGCACCAUGCAAACCCUAAAUGGGCUGUAUAUACAUAAGGUGUAAUUGUGUAUAAAGUCCACCAAACUCGAAUAUUUAGAACCGAGUCUCUCACAACGCAAGUAAAACGUGCGAACAUACCCUCAAGUUCAAUUUCAUGCAAAACGGUACAUAAAAUGUAGGGCUUAUCGCAAAAUUAUCGUUUUGCCAUCUAUGACCCCCUUGAUCAACGCGCGAUAUCAGGAGAUCCGUCCGCCAGAUUUGCAAACGGAUGGCACUAGUGCAUUCAGCACGGCUGAAACAACAAAUUCAUGAUUUUGUUUCGCCUGGUUUGGUCGCAGAUUCGCGACGAAACCCAUCAUCUCUCCCCAAUAGGCAAAAUCACGCACAAAUACAUAGAAUGCAUGUGUCUCUAGUUUUCUCGAAAACUGUGCAUCAAACCUGAAAUCCGUCAACGCCAAUGGUUACAGAAUAGUCGGGCUAUUGAAAACGAGCUAUUGGAUCGCUAUGAACGGAGUCCGAUACACACCAGAAGCCAUCUCUCCUCAUUGGCCUCUCCGAAAAUCCGGGUUUCUAUGGUUUAGGUGUAGCUAUUUUUAACUUCUAAAAUCAAUACAAAUUCUUUUUUUUUAUUUUUCUUAUAUACAUGAACUAUAUUAGCAAGCCAAUCAACCUAACGAGCCGCUCUAAUAAAUCCGACUCUCAAAUGAUUUUUUCAAUUUUAUUUUUGAUUUCAAGUAUAAUACUCGGCUCAAACCAACAAGCCGAUUGUUUAAAAGGCCUAAAUCCUUUUUUUUUUAAGGAUCCUUUGUUCUACAUUCUCUCGAUUGAGUCUUAGCAUCAUUUCAUAACUCCAUAUGAAACAAUUCUUGUAUUGCUUUAACAAACCACUUUCUCUUGGUGGUCCGCGAAAAGCUUAGUAUUGAUAAGGAUCAUUCAAUUAUCAUCAUCCGACCCUAGAUUAAAUUCUAUUAGAGGGUCUUGAACCUCUAAUUUCUUCUCGCCCAUUUUGGUUGGCCAUUCUUCAAAUUUUCUCGCCUUCUUAUCAUAGGCCUUAGUAGUACUAGCCGAAUCAUGAAACUCAUCGGCCUCUAUGGUUGGCUCUUCAUUCCGAAGUUCCAUCAAAGCCUCGGCUCCCCUAACUGCUCGUGCUCCAUUUUAACCAAGCUGGCGGCACCUCACUUGUCACCGAAACUCUGCUUCAUUUUGGACAAUCACCUGUACUCCAUCUUCAGUGAUCCGGGCAAAUAACACCUUUUGCUAGAUCUGCCUCGGCUUAAUUAACAUGACCAAUGCUUCCCUUACAUUAAUCAUCUGUGGUCUCCAUUCGGCUGUAAUCUAUUCCUCGUGAUCUCCAACCUAUUGGAACAACUUUUCACGUAGGGUCAAAAAAACACAUUCAUUGGCGUGAAUCCAAUCACGCCCAAGUAACAAGUUGUAGUGGCUUUUGGCGUCCCCCACAGAAAAAUCCUUGCUUAGAGUUUUCGACCCUGUCGUCAACUCGGCCAUCAAAAUUCCUCACGCUUUUUGACCGUUACUUGUAAAAUCAGUCAUUGUCAUGUCGAUAGGCUUCAAGUCAACCUCAUCUUUGCCUAACUUUUUGAAAAAUGAAGUUGGCACUAGAAUCACCAUAACUCCUACAUCCACAAUUACUCGGCUGACUGGUCAUCCUUCGAUCAAGGCCUUUAUAAAUAAUGGCCUUACAAACACUACAAGAAAAUAUAGUAUUGGUGGCAAAAAUAAGAUGGUGACAAAAUUUAUUGCCACUGUAUAGUUAUCUAUGGUGGCGAUAGAAAAAAUCACCACUAAUUAAUUAAUUUAAAGUGGCGAUACUGGUUUUACCACUAAAUGAAUAUUUUGUCGCCACUAUUUGGUUAUCUAUAAUGGCGAUAAAAAAAAUUGUCACAAAUUAAUUAAUUUAAAGUGGCGAUACUGGUUUUACCACUAAAUGAAUAUUUUGUCGCCACUAUUUGGUUAUCUAUAAUGGCGAUAAAAAAAAUUGUCACAAAUUAAUUAAUUUAAAGUGGCGAUAAAUAUUUGCCACAAAAUGAAACACAUUUAGUGGCAACAAAUAUUUGCCAUUAAAUGAUAUAUUUAGUGGCGACUAAUAUUUGCCAUCAAUUGUCUCCUUUAGUGGCGACAAAUAUUUGCCGCCUAAAGUUGAACAUUGGUGGCAAUAAGUAGUUGCCACCAAAUCCUAGCAAUUGGUGGCGACAUUUUGUCGCCGCUAAAUGAUACCCUUUCGUGGUGACUUUUGUCGCCACAAAAAAUUACAUUUAAAGUGGCAACGGCAACAUGUGGCGACAACUUUUGUCGCCAUUAUAGACAUUUGGUGGUGAUAUUUUGUAUAUUCGGUGGCCACUAUAGUCGCCACCGAAUGAUAGUUAUCUUGUAGUGAAACCUAUUCUGAGGAGCUGAAAGUUUCUCAAAGAUCACCUUGUCGGUUCUGUCUGUACUCUCCAGUUGAAGCUGAGCCACUUGCAACUCCUCUUCAUAUUGAGGCUGCCCCUACCGCUACUUGAAAUGGCAUCGACAGAGCAUACAGCAUAUUUACUCAAGUCAAUUUUCUUUCGACCAAUUUCUCUUCGGUCCUAGCUUUCUUCUCUUUAGACUUUUUUAUUUUUUCGCCAAGAAUUCUUCUUCUCGAGUUGUCUCUCUUAGCUAGCCACCUUUUUCUUUUCAUGGCGGCUUUUAAGGAAGUAAUCUUCUCCUCCAACUUUCUUCUAAGAUCCUCCUUUGUCUGCUUCAAUGUCGUAGGCCGAACAACCUGUGAUUUCAAUCAAGGCAGUGCGGAUGAACCACUUGCCUCAUGAUUGUUCUUUAUGGGCCUCCAUGGAUGCUGAUAUGCCAGCCGUCUUUAGAUGUUCGGUCGCAACCCCUUGGCUUCAUUCCAAUCUCCGGCUUGCAUUCUUUGUUGCUGCCUUUUUUUAGUUUUCAUCAUGACCGGCCCAUACUAUUGGGUUGGUCCUCUAGCAACAUACACUGAUCAACUGGCACAUUUGUUGACAUCUUCACAAUCCUCAAAUAUUUUUUUAAUAUUUUUCUCUUUUGCCACGGAUUUAGCCAUGGCUAAAUCCCCAGCUCAUUUACCAAUCUUCGACCGAGUGUCUCAAUUGCAUUCUUGGUUAUCCCCUCAAAUUCAGGAUCAACUCUCGACCUUAUUGUUUGGUACCUUAUUGGCCGAUAGCCUUGAUUCUAUUGCGGAUUACCGAAAAUUUGCCUCUCAAGGUUUUUUCAGUUAUCAUCAUCAUUUUUAUUGCAAAAUUCUUUUAUUACUCUUUUAAUCAGCCACUCCAGAUCAGAAUCCACAUUUUCAUUGGAUCCCUCUUCUAAUUACUUAUCAGAAUCAAUUUCUCCAACCGAAAGGUUCCCCCACUCUUCAGGAUAUACUAGGGACUCUUGCCAUUCUUCGGUUAUUUUCUUCUCUUUGAUAAUCACUUCCCAGUCUUUCCUCUUUAUUUUGGCCUUGCAUUUCAUACAGAGCCGAAUCUUUCUUCUCGCCACUCCUACAACCUCUUGGAACUCCUUUUCCUGCCGCAUUGGCUUUUUUUCCUUAUUAUCCACUAUAUUGACCUGCGCAGAAGAAGUAUUCUUAUCAAUUUGUAUCUUAUUUCUAUUUUCUUGAACGGCAAAAAAUCAGUCGACCCUUAUUGAUUUCUUUUUGAAUUCGUCUUUUAAAGAUUGUACUAUCGUUUCUUUUAUGCUUUAGGAAUUGUGCCAGUUACCAUACUUCCUUCUUUCGAACUCUUUAUUCGAAGGUAAAAUUUGCUCUUCUUGAAGUUUGAUUCUUCCAUCUUCAUAUAAACAGUCAAAAAUUUAAUCAGUCUUUACUAUAUGAAAAGAAUAAGUAGAAGCCGAGACUCAAGCUCUAGCCUUGUUGGUCUUCGUCGGCUUUAAGAAUGAACAUUUAUACAACUGACGAUUUUUUAUCAUCUCAGCCACAUAAACUUUGGCUUCAUCUACUGAUUUUUCGCUUUCACUCGAUUGACUUAGCACUUCUUGAGUCAAAGCUUCUUCUACAAACGAGACAUUUUUUCUUUUCCUCUAUUCCAAUUUUUGCCUCGCCUCUAGAAUACCAAAAUUGAAAAGAUUUGAGAAGUAUCAAUUUUCAAAAUGAUCUUUUAUUUUAAAAUGGAGGCCACUGAAGGUCAUCUUUGCAAACUCAAUCAUUAAAGUUGAUCUAGAGUAUUUAAAGUCUAGAAACUAAAUUUCAUAAUUUAUAAAUUUUUUUGCAUAAUGAUCAAAGGAUCGCAAAAUCGAUAAUUUUUUAUGACCUAUAUGAGUCAUUUGCUUAUUUAACGGUGUAGAGCAAUCCAAACUAUUUGAACUUUUAAUAGAAAACUAGUGAAGGCCCGCGCUUCGUGGCGGAAAAUUUACGCAAUACCUAAAAUAUUUUCAAAUUUUUAUUUUUUUUAAUUUUCAAAUCUAAUUUUAAAUUUUAAGCUUCAAAAAAAUUGAAGAGAGAGAGGAAUUAAAAAAAUUAUUUAAACACUAUUGCAGGUUAGGAUUUUCGGGGCAGAAAAUUGCAAUACCUAAAAUAUUUUCAAAAUUUUAAUUUUUUAAUUUUUAAAUCUAAUUUUAAAUUUUAAGCUCCAAAAAAAUUGAAGAGAGAGAGGAAUUUAAAAAAUUAUCUAAACAUUAUUGCGGAUUAGGAUUUUCGGGGCCGGGUUUCGGAGUCUUGAUCGGGUUCGAAUUUGGAUAAGGAUUUGUAAAAUCCAUCAGAUUCGAGUUCGGAUUCGGAUUUAAAUUUUAAUUUAAAAUUAAAUUUUAGAUUUUAUUUUUAAUUUUUUUUUUAUCGAUAGCCAUACAAAAUAAUUAAAAAAAAAUAGGCAAAAGAGAAAAAAAAAAAAAAGUAAGAGAGAGUGGACACGGUGCGGCUCCUGCCAGCCUGCGGCGCCCGCCCAGCCGCCCCGCGCCGGCAACCGCCCCGCUCGCGCUUGGCGAGAGGGCGAAUGGAGGAGGAGGACUAGAUGAGAGAGCCGGGACCGCGCCCCCGCUUGCUCGCGGCCGGCCGCUGGGCCUGAGCCCGCCGCCCUCCCGCCCCUCUCGCACGUGUGCGCCCCCGCCCGCCCCGCGCCGGAGCCCAGCCCCCGCUCCCGCGACGCCGCCCCUCAAGCUUGCUUGCCUGUCGUCUCGCGCCCACGCCGCGCCCGACGCCCUCGCCGGCCCCUUGCGCCCUCGCCGCUCACUCCGCCCCGCUGAAGCUCGCCCGCCACCCCCCGCCUCCGCGCUGCCUGCCCGCACCUCUGCUCCGCCUGCCGCCCGCUGCCGCCGCCCGCACUGCGGAGAGGUCGAAGAGAGAGAGAGCGGGGGUGAGGGAAAAGAAGGAAAAGAGAGGGAGGGGAAGAGAGAGGGCAGAGAGCCAGAGAGAGAGUCGGGGGUGGAAGAGGGAGAGAGCAUGGGAGGCCGAGAGGGGUAAAGAGGAGCGGGAAGAGAGGGAGAAAACACCUUUGUCUCUCUCUCCGCCGCGCGCGGCCCUUGGGCCCCCGUGUCCCCUCAUCUCUCUCUCUAACGCGCGGGCCUUAGGACGCCGGUGUCCCCCCUUCUCUCUACCUCCUUUCUCUUUCUCUCUCUCUUUCUCCCCCCUCCCCCCCGCCCCCCGCGCCCCGCGCGCGGGGGACGGGUCGGGUACCCCUGCCCCCCGCGCUGUUCCCCUCUCUUCUCUACGCCAGGGCUAUUGGGCCCCGUAGUUCCCCCCCCCUCAUCGGCUCUCUCUCGCUCUCCCCUCUCUCUGUCUGCUAUCUCUCUCUCUCUCUCUCUCUCCUGUCUCUCUGUCUGCCUCUCUCCCCCUCUCUCCCUCUGUUCUCUCUCUCCCCCUCUUCUUUUCUCUUUCUCUCUUUUCUCUUCUACGCAGAGCGCGGAGAAGCCCACAUCCGGCCACAGUUAGAACUCACGAAAUACCCGUGUCUCCCACUCUCCUCUCUCACGUGGGGGCCCCUUGCGGACCCCCCGCUUGCCCCCUCCCCUCUCUCUCUCUCUACCUCUCUCUCUCUCUCUCUCUCUCUCUCUCUCCUGCUCUCCUGCCGCCCAGCGCGUGUGCGGGCGCUGUCGAGUGCCCGGCGGGCGGUACCCCCUGGCGCGCGGCCGUGUCUGUCCCCUCUCUCUACGCAGGGGCCCUGCGUGCCCCCGUGCCCCUCCCCCCGCAACCCCACCGCACCCCCCCGCAACCCCCACCCCCACCCCGGCUCUCUCUCUCUCUCGCCUCUCUAUAGUCCGCUAUCUCCCUCUCUCUCUCCCUCCUCUGUCUACUCUCUCUCUCCCCCUACUCUCCUCGGCUCUCUCUCUCUCUCGGCUCCCUCCCUCUCUCUUUCUCUCUUUCUCUCUUCCUCGCGAGCGCGGAGAAGCGGCCACGUCGGCCACAGUAGAACUCAGAAAUUAAUAAAUGUAUAGAUUCUUUAUACUAUUUAGAUAACAUGUUUAUUUAUCUAUGGUGCCCUUAAAUGCAAAUAAAAGUUCAUACUAUAAUAUUUGUUGGAGCCAUCCGUACUAGAGUAAUUUAUGUUAUGCCUUAUCUGAUUUUGAAAUAAUUUUUUUUUUAUUUUGAAAACUAUGUUACUAUAUGCAACGUGCAUUUAGCUAAUCUAUAUACUAAUUAUAAAAGGGAAAGAUUUGUUGACAUUUUUCUUCCAAAAUGAUCGCUUCUCUUAAUUCUAAUAUCUAAUCAUGAAUUAACAUAUAACUUAAAUAUUAAAAAGAAGGGAUAAUUGCCUAUAUACCCCUCAUACGUUUGAAAAUAUUCGAUUUAUUUCUAUAUUUUUUUUUCUAAAAUAGUCCUCAUAUGUUCCACCGUUAUUGCAAAGUACCCCCGCAGUUAUCUCCUGUUAAGUUAACUUGGGUUAAACGUGAGUUAAACAUCUACCACAGUUAAAAAAAAUUAAAACGCCAAUUUUGUCCUUAACUUAAGAGCAAAUAAAAAUGUUGGUGACGGUAGCGGUAUAUUGGAAAAGACUAAAAGUCAAAAUACUUUUUGUGCCCCUGACUUUAAGGGCAAAUAAGAAAGUCAGUGAUGGUGGAAGGGUAUAUUUGAAAGAGCAAAAUAAUAAUUUUAUAAAGAUAACAGAGUUAAUUAAUAGAUUUUAACUCUAGAGGUAUAUUAAAAAUAGAUUAGAACGUAGAAAGGGUAUUUUCAAUAUUAGCCUUCUAAGAGGGGUAAAUCGGAAAGUCUGAAAAUUUUCAGGGGUAUAUAAGCAAUUGCUCCUAAAAAAAAAUUCUCAAAAGUAAUUUUGAAAGAAAAAAUUUAGAUUGUUAAUUUUAAUCUAACAAAAGUAUAUACAUUUUGAUUCCACAAUACCCUUAUUAAAGUGUUGAGUAUAGGCAGGAAGCCAGGAACCCUAAUAAAUAUUACCCCCUUUCAAGAUAUCUUCCAUUUUUUUAAUAUUGGCUCCAUUUUUUCAAAUAUUAACUGAACAUUAUUAGUCGUCUCUAGGCCAAUAAAUUAUUUCCUUAAAAAUAGAGGCGUAAAAAUGCAAGAGACCCUUCAUUACCCAUUUCCAUAGUGUCAUUUAAACUUUAAAAAAUUCACAUUUGAUAAAUAAAAUUUUAAAAUUUUCACGAUUAAUAACUUAGGUCCACACUUCAUUAUUUUAAGUAAUUCACAUUAGCUAAAUAAUCAAAAGACAAUAAUGGUUUAACUCUAUUAUGCAUAUGUUUUCUUGACAUUAAAAUUUGAAGUUUUUACAUAUUAUAUUAAAUUUUUUUUAAUGUUACAUGCACUGCACGUGCACUAAGCUAGUGCAUUUCAUAUGAUAGAUAGUCGUCAUGGAGCUGAAUCAUACUAAGCCGAAUUCAAGCCUUUUUCGAUCACUGAUCAAAUUGUCCAUUUACUAGGCUAAGCCUAAAUCUUUCCUUUGAUCAGUGAUAAUAAUCCUUUGGAUUGUCCAAUGUCAUGCAUAACGCGCAGGACAAAAUAAGGGUAGAGCAUAAUUUCAGCCCGGAUAGAACCUUGCUUCAAUUUGAAGAACCAAAGUACGAGGCCAACAUAAUUUAUCAUACAGAGAUGAGCUCAAGAACUAGUUACAAAGAGAAGCAUAGACAUAAAAAAAAGUAGUACGGCAAACGGUGAAAUAUCUCCCUGUUCGUAGCUGAAAUCCCUAGUCCUUGACCCGAUCAAAGACCCUCCUCGAGAAGCGUGUCGGAAUGGAAACGGCUUAUGGUACCGACCCUCGAAGUUUGCUCUCUUCAAACAAUCAAGCGAUUCGGCUGACGAGGGAUCAAAUCAGCCGGGUUCGAAAACCUUUAAAGUAAACUCGGUUCGGCGGGAUGAGCCGAAUGUACGGACCGAGCGAGAAAUGAGUAUGGCAGAAGAGCCGAACUAACAGAAAAGGUAAGAAUUGUUCGGCUAGAGGAGCCGAAUGCCUUUAUAUUGAGUGGAAGGAAGUACAGAGGUCGAGUGUGCCGGAUGGCAUGCAGACUCGAUUGAUCUACUUUACGGACUACUCCUAGAAAGAACAGUAAAUGCGGGAAAAGAAAAGUUACAGAUAAACUACUCCUAGAGAAUGCAGAAAAUUGCGAGGAAUUAAGGGCAGUCUUUUGUUCGCAAGGCAAAAGACCCCAUUUUUAGGGCAUUAGUCCCCUAUUUAUAGAUCGCCCCUUGAUCAGUUAUUGCUUUUACACGAUCGGCCACUAUCUCCUAAUAUCCCGGACCACCUCCAGCCGAUCGGAAUCGCAUGCAACUGCUUGUGGUUACUGUAACUUCCUUGAAUUAGCGCGACAGUUUACUUUAAAAAUUCUUUUGGUGCUCCUGGUGUAUGGCCAUAUUGAAACCUUUGGAGGGAAUACCGGCGUACCACCUGUCCGCGCCUAAUUGGCUCAACAAUUGCCCCCUCGGCAGCUUUCAAAGUAACGCUUCGGAAGCUGGCGUAAUUCGAGGCGCGACUACUUUUCAAACUCUUGGUACGGUUUCGUCUCAACAGUCCACUUUUUUGUUGCCGAAAUUCCGCCAUCAUUUUGAUAACAAGCGCGAUCCGAGGCGUGGUUCUCGAUCCGAUCAAAUUCAAAUUCUCUGUACAAGUAAUUGACGUACUCCGAGGCGUGACCCUCUGUACGGUUUAAUCUUAGCCGUCCGAUCUCGCCCCUAUUUUUGUCUCAUAUGCGGCAUUAAUUAGGUCAUCUUAAUUACCGCCGUCUAUUCAUCAUUAUAGCUGACCUCAGAACUCGUUUCGAUGCGACGGUUCGACGCCAUGGCCUUUUCUUCUUCCCCAAGCUUCUCCUUCCUUUUGUCUUUUUUGUCCCUUUUUUAUUUCUUCCUCGUCUUCUCCGGCGAAGCUUUUCUUUCGCUUCUCUUUACUUCUUCUUCGUCUUCUCCGACUUCUUUUAAUCUUCAUCUUUGUUCCCAGCUUCUUUUCUCUUCGAAUAAUGGCGUCGCUUCCGCCUUUAUCUACUCGUCCUUCAUUAGACUAUACCCUGCUCAAAACGUAUCUUGAGACUGACCCUACUAGAUUUGUUCUGGGUCCCUUCUUUACUGAAGAACCAUCUGCUGAUGACUUCCCUUAUUCUGACGAAGGUCUUCCAUUAGUGGCCAAAUCCAUUCAUCUCCAUUCCUGGUACUCUACGGCUUCAAUAGGAAAAAGUCUUCGAACCUGGCCUAGUGUUUCAGAUGCUUAUUUAGCUUGGUUAGAUCGCGUUGAAGCUACUUAUGGUGACCUCUGGUGGGAAGUUGAGAUUUAUGAAGCUAUUCGGCUAUCUCGGAAGCCUCCUAUAGGCGACAAUCUUCUUCUGGCUUCUGCUCUCUGUUUCUGGUCCCCUGUUUCCAACGUUUUUCUUUUUAAAGGAGGACCUCUUACUCCGACUCUUUUAGAUGUAGCUGCCAUCGUUGGUCUACGACCUCAUGGUGUUACUCUCUCCAUGGCCUACAAUCCUGAUGGCGUAUCCGAUUUUGAGGCCCAUCUUGACCUCACUGAUUUGGCCUACUCCAAGUUUCUUCUUAAAUUUGUAGGUGAAUCCCCUGCCCCUGUCACUAAGAAGGAACACACAACAUUCCUUCUAUAUUGGUUAUGUCAUAACCUCUUCUGUACUUGUUCACAAAAGAUUAAUCGAGAUUUUGUCCCCAUCACCGUCGGUUUGACUAACGGCGAUAAAUUAGCUCUUGGGCCUUACUUUCUUGCCUUUGUUUAUAGAGAGAUUUUUGAUUCCAUUAAACCACUACCCUCUGGAGACGAUGUAACGAUCAGUUCGGGUUGUAGUGUUUUCUGAUUUUUGCAUAUGUUUUUACAGAUUUACUUCCCUAACUUGUGUCGAACUCCUUUAGAUAAGGAUUCGGCUGCUCAUUUUGAUUCUUACAGGCUGGCUCUCGGCUGUCCUCCGCCACUAACAUUAGGCCGCCCUUCUAAUUUUCUUUCUUAUUUUAAAAUAUUUUAUGAAUCUCGUCCUCAUUUCUCUAUCCAUUGGUCUCCACUGACUGACCGUGUCACCGGCCCAUCUUGGCUUCUAGCACGGUAUGAAGCCAUUCAAGGCAAACUUGCCUCUUCUCGUGCCGGCGAGUAUGCAGAUGUUUGGUAUUCUUUUUUGGCAACCAGGGACUUGCACAUUGGCAUGAAAUCACGCUCAAAAUUGUUGCCUAGUACUGAGGUUUAUUCUCCUCAAUUUGUAGCAUGUCAAUUUGGAUUCACCCAAGCAAUUCCUGCUCCAGCCAAGUUUUUUACAGCUAAUACUGCCUCUUACCGAUCUCCCACCAAGAGUAUAGCCGAGGCAGAUCGGAUUUCGGCCAUGGGGAAUCGACUUUGUCGAUUCUUCAAAUUAGUAAGUUUCAGGCCGAACUACAGGGGUAGUAGGUUUCCGUUAUACCGUCACCUGGGAUCAUUUUGCCGAUCGCAUUUUCCAUCGAUCUGCGAUACAAGCAUUCCGCCAGACUAUUCUCCCACUCGGUAAUAUUCUCUGUUUAAGACCACUUUUCCUUCAUUUUUAACAUCUAUGAAAUUAAUUUUUUAUUCACUUGUUCCUCAGAUGCAGCGGUACCUAUCCUAAUUGAUCCCGCUGUUUUCACUGUACCGAAAGAAGAAUCAGAGGAGAUUCCUGAUACCCCACAUCCUUCUUCUGUAAUAUAUUCUCCAUUUCUUUUGAUUUUUCUUUUCUUGGUAUAUGUAAUGCUUACUUUUUCUUUUUUGCAGUCAAUUUCGGUUUCUCCAUCGGUCCCAGCUUCAGAGAAAAGGCCGACGGAAGCUACACAAUCUACUCCUCCGCCGCCUCCAAAGCGGCGCAAGUCAGUCGUCAAGAGACCGCAUUCGUAUUCCUAGCAAACCGAAAGCACUCCUUCGGCUGACGUUUUAAAGAAAAGAGCCGAAUAUGUACCUUUGGUUACGAUUCCAGAAAGAAGAGCCGAAGAAAUAUUUUCGACUGAUGCUCCAAAAGAAAGAACCGAAGUAUCAUCUUCAGCUGCUGAGCAAAGCUCUGUUUCGAACGAGCCGAUUGAGAUUGAGGUAAACCAAUUUUAAUUAUCUGUACUCAAUCUUUUUAUUUCUUCAUUUAUUUAUUCUUUUCUCCCAAUAAAACAGUCAUCUCCUGAAAAAAUCCAUUUUGCUCAUUCUUUGAAAACGCAGAUGGAUAGGCAACUCUGUCGUGAAACUCGCCUCAAAAAGAGGCAAGAAGCAGAGAAGAACAGGGCAACUCAAGAAAAGACCUAAGAGUUGCCAACAAGUGGUGCAGCAUCACCAAUGCCGACAACAGAAGGAGAAAAUAUGAAUGUACCUUUGGAAGAAAGCGUUGGAGGAGCCUUACUUGACUCCUGAAGCUUCAUCGUCUGUUCCAGAAGAUCCUCUGUCUGCAACUCUUCACUCUCUCUUAGUUUCGAGUCCAAAUUCUAAUGAGGGAGAUGAUUCGACUACCAUUGUGAUGUCGUCAGACACUCAACAACAGUUUGAUGAGUGUCUACGAUUAUAUAGUCAAGGUCUCCCAUAUUUGGCUCAGAAUCUUAGAGCAAUUUGAUCGGUUGUGCGCUCUUUCACUUGACUUGGUCGAUCGGUCAGACAUCUCUUCUGCUGGUAAAUGUUUUGUAGAGAUUCUGUCAUCUCAACUUUCUUCUUUACUUUUAAGCCGAAGUAAUGAAGUGAAAACCCCUAUUCUACUGGCCAGAUUCGAUAUAAAUCACCGCAAGUAAUUAAUUUUCCCCAACAAAUUUUGCAACUCUUUUUUGCUUUUUGGUGGCGGUAAUUCUGAUAUAACUUUCGCCUUAUUUUUAUCGAUUUCAAUCCCCUUCUUAUAUACCAAGAAUCCCAGGAAAUUUCCUGCUGAGACUCCAAAAGCACACUUCAAAGAAUUCAUCUUCAAAUUAAAUUUUUUCAUUCUUUCAAAGACGAGCUUUAAAUCUACCCAAUGUUCAGCUUGAAAUUUGGAUUUCACAACUAUAUCAUCAAUAUAAACCUCCAACAUUUUGCCGAUUAAAUCAUGAAAAAUAAAAUUCAUUGCUCUUUGAUAAGUAGCUCCGACAUUUUUUAAACCGAACGACAUGACUACCCAUUCAAAGGUUCCAAUAGCCCCUGAGCAUCUAAAGGCCGUUUUAGCUAUGUCUUCUUCGGCAAUGAAAAUUUGAUUAUAACCAGCAUGUCCGUCCAUAAAAGACAAGAUUUCAUUCGGCAGCCGAAUCUACUAACAUAUCAGUUAUUGGCAUUGGAUAUUCAUCCUUAGGUGUAGUCAAAUUUAAGUUCCUAAAAUCAAUGCAAAAUCUAAGUUUGCCAUUCUUUUUUCGCACUGGAACUAUAUUGGAUACCCAAUCAAUCAUAACGGGCCGCUCUUAUAAAACCGGCCUUUAAAAAUUUUCUAUUUCAUUUUUCAUUUGGAGUACAAUACUCGGCUCAAACCUACGAGCCAGCUGUUUAUAAGGCUUAUAUCCAUUUUUAAUAGGUAACCUACGCUCUACAAUUUCUUGGCUUAGUCCUGUCAUUUCUUCAUAACUCCAGGCAAAGCAGUCUUUGUACUCCUUUAGCAAUUCUUUCAGCUCCUCUUGUUGUUCAGCCGAAAGCUUGGCACUAAUAUAAGUCGGCUUCUUGUCUCCAUCGGAUCCUAAGUUUACUUCAAUUAGUGGAUCCUGAGUUUCCAAUUUUUUUUCACCGACUUUGAUAGGCAAUUCUUCUAUCAAUUCUUCUAAGUUCAAGUCAGUUGUUCGCCUAAUCACUUCAUCUGGUGUAUCACAUUCGGCUGGAACAGCCGAGUUCCCCAUAUUUUUCAUAUCGUCUUUAACAACUGGUUUUACUGCAUUUUCAUUAUCGGCCGUUUCGGCCUUCUUGUUGUACACCACAUCAUCGGCCUGCUAAGCCGAAUUUAUCACACAGCCGAUCCUGUCGAUCAGCUCUUCUUGCCGAAGCUCCUCUAAAGCUUCGGUUCUUGAUUCUUCACGUUCCAUUUUAGCCAACUUGGUGGCUCUUCGACUGCCACCAUAGCUUUUUCGCCUUUAGAGAGGAUUAACUGAAUCCCCUCCCCCGUAACUCUUACAAAAGAGAUUUGGUCUGGAUCAGCGUCGGCCCAAUUGAUGUGGCCGACCUCUUCUGCGUUGACAUCCACCAUUUGGGGUUGUCCUUCGGCCCGGAUUUCUUCAACUUUAUCUCCUAUCCACUGGAAUAAUUUUCCGUAUAGUGUGGAAGGCACGCAUUCGUUUGCGUGUAUCCAAUCGCGUCCGAGUAGUAGGUUGUAGUGGCUAUUUGUAUCCACUACAAAAAAUGCAGUUUGUAAAGUUUUAGAAUCUACCGUAAUCUCGGUCGUGAGCACCCCUCGAGCUUGUUGACCGCUAUCGGUGAAGUCAGUCAUAAUUGUAUCAGUGGGCUUCAACUCAUCUUCGUCCUUACCUAGCUUCUUGAAGAACGAAGUGGGCAUGACAUUGACCAUCGCUCCGCCAUCCACCAUGACUCGGCCUACUGGCCGACCUUCGAUUAAGACCCGAAUAAACAAAGGCCUCACGAACCUCGUCUGUAUGGCCGAUGGUUUCUCAAAAACUACCGCAUCGGCCGGUUUGACAUCCUCUAGUUGUCAUUGGGCCACAUUGAGCCCAACUUCUUCCUCCAUCUCCUCAUACUCAGUAUACUCUGCUUUAAAGGACUGCGGCAGACUAUAAACCAUGUUGACAUCGACCGGUCCUUCAUCAGCCGAGUUUCCUUGAAUCCUUUGUUUCUUUUCUUCGGAUUCCUUAGUCGUCUCAGCCGAAGAAUCACUUUCCAUCCGCACUUCCCUCUCUUUAGGAGGCCAUCUCUCUGGUUUAAUGAUUGUCUCGAGGGAGGCUAUCUUGUCCUCUAACUCCCUCCUAUUCAUCUUCUCCUCCUGCUCGGCCGAAACCGACUGUUCAAUUUUCGAUUUUAACCAAGGAACAGGCGAUGAGCCGCCUACCUCGUGGUCGUUUCGCAUCGGGCGAAAAGGAUGUGGUGGUUCAUUAGGCCGUCUCCACACAUUCAAUUUUAUCCCCUUUCGCUUCGUCGUACUGUUGCCUCCUCUCGGCUUACAACCUUUGUUGCCGACGUUUUUGUAUCUUUGUUAACAUCGGCCCUUACCAUCUGGCCGAUGGUUUUACUUCGGCUUCGUGCUACUUGUCUACCGGCAUAUUUGCCGGUACCUUCACUGUUCUUAAAUGAUUUUUUAAGAUUUCUCCUCUCCCAAGGUCUCGGCCAGGGCUGAAUGCCGAGCUCAUUGACCAAUCUUCGACUAAGGAAUUCUAUGUCUCCCUCAGUCAUUUCUUCAAACUUCGGUUCUGGUCUCGGCCUGGCUUGAUGCUGCCAGUGCGGCCGAUACCCAAGAAACCUUUGCUUUGAACUGAAUGGUUUUUCUGGAUAACUCCAUCGACUAUGAGGUUCAUCUCGUCGGUUAUGGUAGUAGUCAUGCAGAACUUUCUGCAUCAAUAAAUCUUUUUUGUGUUGAACCGAAUUGACUUCCGGUUUCGUCUCGUUGGAGGCUUCACCUAAGCCAUCCUCUUCUUGAUCAUCUCCUUCAGGAAUGUCAUCAAUUCAUUCAAUUCGUUGCCUGUCUUUUUGUUGUUGAUAAUGGCUUCCCAAUCAUUUUUCAUCAUUUCGGCUUUGCAUCUUACGCAAAACCGAAAGUUCCUUUUGGCGUGUGCAAUAUUUUCUGCGGUCGUUUUGUCCGCAAUCUCUUUUCCUUUAGCAUUCACCAUGUUAACCUGUAACAGAAAAGAAUUUUUGUCAAUUCCUGUAUUUUCAUUUUCUUGAUCGGCUAAAAUAAGCCGACCCUCGUCUAUUUCUUCUUGGAUCUGCCUUUUUGCAGUCACUUUCCCUUUUCCUUUCGUAUUCACCAUAUUGACCUGGGAUGGAAAAUAAUUCUUAUCAAUUUUCAUAUUUUUAUUUUCUUGGUCGGCAAAUAUGAGCCGACCCUCAUUUAUUUCUUUUUGAAUCUGCCUCUUAAUGGCAGUGCAUUCAUUUGUCUUAUGGCUCCAUAAGUGGUGCCAUUUGUAAUAUCGUCUACGUUUUAAUUCUUCCAUAGGAGGUAUUGUUUGACCCUCCUGCAAUUGAAUUCGACCAUUUUUUAGCAACCGAUCAAAAAUUAGAUCGGUCUUUGAUACAUCAAACGAAUAUGUGUAUGCCGACACCCGUGCUUUCGCCUCGCUUGACUUAGUAGGCUUCAGCAAAGCACAUUUGUAUGGCUGUCGACUUUUUACAAUCUCGGCUGCAUAUACUUCGGCUUCAUCAGCCGAAUCUUUAGCCUCUUCAGACGAAUUCGGCUCCUCAUGAGUCGAAGACUCUUCAAGGAAUGAGACAUUUUUCUCCUUCCCUUUGUUCCACUCUUUGUUUCGGCUCCAUCUGGGCCGAUGUUCAUUAUUUUCUUUUCGGAAUUGCUCAUAUUGAGCAACCCGAACAACCCGAACUUCCAAAUUGAAAAGAUUUGGAAGGUAUUUGUUUUUAAAAUGAUCUCUAAUUUGAAAAUGCAAUCCGUUAAAUGCUAUUUUGGCAAACUCCGACUCUGGCAUUCUUACAAAACAACGGCUCCUAGCUGUCUUGAAUCGGUUCAAAUAUUUCUCAACCGAUUUUUCCGUUCUUUGUUUGAACUUAGCCAAAUCGGCAACCGAUAAUUCUGGUUCAGUUCUAUAGAAUUGUUCAUGAAACUUUCCUUCUAAUUCGUCCCAAUCCCAGACGGAAUUAGCCGGCAAACUUGUAUACUAAAUGAAAGCCGUCUUGGUUAAUGAGGUGUUAAAUAAUCUUAACUUUAAAAUGGAUCUGCUGCGGCUUCUCGGCAUCGUGCCGUGAGCCGUGCAACAUGUUCGACCGUGUUCUUGGUCUCAUCUCCAGAAAACUUAUCAAAUUUCGGUAUUUUUCAAUUUGCCGGGUAUGGAUGUUCUGCGUUUAUAUUCGCAGGAUAAGGUGAUCUAAAUACAAGCCGCAUUGCCAGCCUUGCGCCUACUCCGAAUGUAUUUCGGAUGGCUUCCUCUAUUUGCGCAUAAAUUUCAUUAUUAUUCCCUUGUGCGGGAACUUGUGCUUGUACUGGAUUCGGUCCUUGUGGUAGACCGAAAUUUUGUACCACAGGGUUAACUCCUUGUACAUUCGGAGCCUGCCCCCUAGCCCCUACAUUUUGGGGCUGGUAUGUUGCUACUGGUGGAGGAGGCGGUAACCCCCAUGCUAUCUUAGGUUGUUAGCCGGCAUUGACAACUGCCGGUCUAUAAAUUCCUUGAAAUGGUGCCCCCUGAUAUUGAGGUUGACCGUUUACCGGUGUUACAGGAUUUUGUAACACUGGUGUCAUUACAGGCGCUUGUAAGCCUGCUAUCGGCUGCUCAUUCCGAGUUAAUAAUUGCCCUAUUCGGGCAAUAUUCUCGUUAGAGGCCGUGAUUGCGGCCAACACUGCAUCUAGCCGUGCAGUACUAGCAUGGCUAUUUUGGUCCAAAACUUGUAGGACUCGAGUCAUUUGCCCAAGCGCCUGAGCCAAACUAGACUCUUGCUGACCAGAUUGGCCGCUAGUUAGUUUCACCCUCAGCGGGUAAAACCGCUUGGCGUUCGGCAAUAUUUUCUGAAUUGCUAGGCUGUUCGCUCCCAAAACUUCUAGGAACAGCCCUAUUUCGUAAAUUCAUGGCAUUAUCGUCAGCCAUAAUAAUCAAUAACUGAUAAAAAAUUACCUUAAAACGUGUCCCACCGGGCGUGUCAAAAAUUGUUCGUAGCCGAAAUCCCUGGUCCUUGACCCGAUCAAAGACCCUCCUCGAGAAGCAUGUCGCGAUGAAAACGGCUUAUGGUACUGACCCUCGAAGUUUGCGCCCUUCGAACGAUCAAGCGAUUCGACUAACGAGGGAUCAAAUCAGCCGGGUUCGAAAACCUUUAAAGUAAAUUCGGUUCGGCGGGAUGAGCCGAAUGUACGGACCGAGCGAGAAAUGAGUACGGCAGAAGAGCUGAACUAACAGAAAAUGUGAGAAUUGGUCGGCUAGAGAAGCCAAAUGCCUUUAUAUUGAGUGGAAGGAAGUACAAGGGUCGAGUGUGCCGGAUAGCAUGCAGACUCGGUUGAUCUACUUUACGGACUACUCACUACAACAAAAUGUAGCUCUACCGACGCUUUUUUAGGGAUGCUUCGCUGAAGUGUCGGCAAAUUUUAAUUUAUCUCCUAAAUUAUCGAUGCUUACCCAAAGCGUCGACAGGAUGGAAUUUUAGGCGCUUAAUUAACUUCCCGCGAAACACUCUGCCCGCGAAACGCCCGCAUAGCGCGAAAUAGUAGCGCCAAAACUGAAAAAAAAAAAAACCCUAAAUCUCAUAUUAGUUCUCUUUUCACAUAUCCUCUGUCACCAAAAUGCCUUUUUCCAUUCCUCCCACCUUCCUUCACAGAUGAAGAAGAAGGUGAUCUCCCACCUCUAUCGCUGCGCCCUCUCCCGCUUCUGCUGCCGCUCCCACUUCUCCGCCCAAUCCUACCGCCACUUCGUCUAGGGCCCCCAGCUCCUCUCCCGCGCCUGCUCCUUCUCCCUUUCCUCCGCCUCCGCCUCCGCCCCCGCCCUCGCCCACUCCGCCAUCGCAGAGGCCGACCUUGCCGCUGCCCUCGACGCUCGCGAUGCCGCGCCCCACAUCUUGAAGGCCCUCGCCCCAGCCCGUGGUUGAGAAUGUUCCAGAAUGCUCGUGAAUGGUGCUCGUAGAUCAGGUACUAUACGUUUCUUUCUCAGUGAAUGCGACGACUAUUUAAGUUUUAUUUGGUCUUCUUACUGCUUUACUUGUUAUGUUAAAAAGAUUUUGAAGCUUGCCAAUUACUAUUUCCUGCGGAAAACUGAUUUUAGGUAUGGAAACCGAAAGCUACAUUCCGGUAUGUUCUGUAUCACUUAAGCGCUAACUUAUCGAAGUGGUCUGAUCUGCGAUGGUGGUGUUCAAGAAUGUGAAUUUGCUGGAUAAAAUAACUACUGUGAGGAAUGGAUCCAGUAAAAGUUUUUGGGUCUUAUUUUGAGUGGUUCUUAUAUUUAUUUCUAUACAAAACAAAAUAAUUCUAUACCUUCUUCUUAAUAAGUAUUUGGUUGCAUUUUGGCUUAUGUGAACAGCAACUUGAGUUUGAAGUACAAAUAAUAGAAUAUAAUGAUAUUAGCAAAGUACUCCAUGUGUAGGCAUACUGAUGGUGUCCAUUUGGUGUGUUUUGCUUAAUUACUUACAUGUUGAACAAUGUUCUUUAAUGGAGUAUUAAUUAAUUUGUUGUUAUAAUUUCCUUAGUAUUACUCUGUAGAUUCUCCCCAUGCUCUGAUCCCUCGACGCCGCCCUCUCCCACCUGCCACCAAAUCCCUUCCCCCCAGCGAGCGUGGCAACGCCUUCUUCAAGUGCGCCAGGCUGGAGAAAAUUGUGAGUUUAAGUCCUAGUUCGUAUUCCGAUCUUGAAACACAUUCAUUUUGAUGCUUUGGAGCCCCCAAAAUCCCUAAAGCACUUUAGAGCUCCACUGCUUUACAAAAUGGCAGUGGGAAUUUGGGGAUUAUGGAGACUUCGGACUCUAAAGAAUCAAAGUGGUUGCGCUCAGAGGGUGCAUUCGAAAUGAGGCCUAAGUGUUAUUUCUUUUUUAAUUUAGUUUCUUUUCUAAUUUACCACAUCAAGUAGCUUGUGAAUAAUGAUUUGAUCUGAUAAUGUAGGGAACUUUCAAUGAGGAUGUGUGAAUUGACUCCUGUCGACCAUGCAUAUCUUGUUUUCAAGCUUUUCUGGAAAAUUAGCUAAUUAGCUGAUACCAGCUGUUUUUUCCCUUUUUUGUUUCGGGCUUGUCGUUAUUGCUUUCCUCUCGAAGCAUUACUAUUGUUGAUGUCAUUUUAUUACUUUUAGGCAAGUGUGUGACAAAAUUGAUGUCUGUCUCAUGAAAUAAAAAUAUUCCUCCGUUCUAUAGAUCGAAUUUGUAACUCUUAACUCAAAUUGAAGGGACUGGAGAUCAGACUUUGCUUGUUCCUUUAGUCUGAACAUGAUUUUAGAAGCCAUGAUAAAGUUCAACUUGUGUAUGGGUCUUUAUCUUGGAUUUAGUUAAGUGUUAUUGUUCUUUGGUUGCUAAACAUGUUAAGUAUACUCAAAUGUGUGAAAUUGGCCUGAUGCUGAAUUCAUGUUUUGACAUGUGUUGACAAUAAUAUGUAAGUUUGGUCAUUUUACUUGAUUAAAUUUCUAUGCUAAACAAUUUCUUCGUCAAAUGACAAAAUCCUGUUAGUCUUCAUAUAACUAUAAUGAUUUCGUUCCAUUUUCACUUGAGAAUGUUCUUUGCACAGGGAGCUCAUUCUGCAUCUUGCUAGGUUUGUUUAAGUUAAAUCACGAGCUAGAAACUAUUUCACCAGCCUCUUUGUUGAGUUCUUCAAGUUCUUACUUUAUUUGUUAACGAAUUUGCGGUCCAGAGACUACUUUGAAAUGAUCCUUGAACUGGGUACUAUGAUGACGGACCAAACAAAGUUUCUGUUGAUUAAUCAGAAAUAAUGUCCUUCAACUUUGAAUAGGUCUAGUAUUUGUGUUGCUUGAAUGUAGAAGCAUGAAACUUGUUUAGAUGAAGUUACAUGAGAAAUGUCUAGCUGCGCAAUGGUUUGGUCAAUAAGAUUUCAAGAGGACUUUGGAAUCUCUUGUGGUACUUACUAAUUAAAAACUGGUAGGGCUUUUCUGAAGAAUCUACUCAAAGAGCAUCAAUUUCUAUAGAAGGUCUAGAUAGGCCCCAAGUUUAUGAGUCUGAAUUUUGAAACAUAUUGUGAAUUAGAAGUAGUGGCAAAGCCUGUCAACCUCCAGAUUUUGAGAAAUAGUUUGUGCAGAAUGAAGCAAAAUAAUAGUUAUAUCUUAAAAUUUGCAUUCAUUUACCCAACGAUCCUUCUGCUAUUUGAAAAAUAUGGUCGUAUUAAAAAGGUAGUUGAUGCUGAAUUUUAAUAGACCACACUCUUCUUUCCAAAAGAUAGGUGCUUAAAUUAUCUAGAAAGCAUGAGAAGUAGGUGACAUAUUUAGGCCUUGUUUGGUUAUGCAUCAAUUUUGCAUUUUUUCCCCCUUUUUUUUCUCUUUCACUUAAUUCCAUGCUUUGCGUAGUAUGAUGACAGAUUGUUUGCAAUCUCUGCAAUAAUGGUGUUUGUUUUUUUUUAAAAAAAAAAAACUAGUAGGAACAAUUAUCUCUAAGGCCUUCCCAUCCUCGGCGAGUGCUACGAGCACAAGGGAUCCAUCGAGGCUGCACGGAGCACUUUCGACCCUGCCAUUUGGAUCGACGCCUGUUUGGAAUUGGCUUGGCAGGACCUGCAGAGGCUAUUCGGAUCCAGAGGCAGACUCCCACAUAAGGUUAAUUGUUUGAUUGAAUCUUCCAUCAUAUGUCAUUCCAAUCUUAGCAAGUUGCAAGUUUUGACUGCAGAAAUUUUUUUUUUGUUCUACCAACUCAUUAACCACCACCUUAUUAGGAAUGUGCUUAAUUGAAUUAAUAUGCUUGAAGUCCUUUUUCCAUAGUUCAACAAUGUAUUUUGAUAGAAUUUCAACCACAUCUUGAUAAUUUAGCACCGAGAGCACAUGCCUACCUGAAAUAUCCUUGAAUUGAAAAUAGCAACAAAAUAUAGCUAAAUUCAAACUCAUUUUCACUGUAAAGAACCUCAUAGCUCUUUUACUAUAAGGCUAAACCAUCUUUCAUUAUUGUAUGGUCUAUUAUCUCAAAGAAGGAAACUAAUCCAUCAACUUUCACUAGCGAAGGGGUGCAAUCGGUCAAAGUCUUGAUCUCUUCUUGGAAUGUUAAACAUUUCCAAUAUUGUGUAAAUCUUCCUGUAAAAUUGCAUUACUAAUAGAAGGCCUAUACUCUCUAUGCUCAUGAGAAAAAAGAUCUUAUUUUUUUAGUUUGUAGUGUUUAACAUAGUGAGCUCUUUUUAUCAAAAAAUUUGCUUUGAUAUAUCCUAUAAAAUAUAUUUGUCACCUAAGAAAUGUUGUUGGUUUAUAUUUUUAUGAAAACAAGAUAACUUAGCAUUUUUUUUUUUAUUUGGUACUUUUCUAAAAAUUCUAGAUUGCUCUUCAAUUUUUGUUUGAUACGUGAAGCUAGCCAUACAAUUAGUGUUUGAUUCUAGAUAAGCUCUAUCAUGUCAAACAUUUGAUUCACAAGUAAUAUUAGACUGCUAAAUAAUAGUUUUAAAUAUUUUAGGAAUACAAUUAUUCCUAACACCAUUAGCAUUGUUACCGGCUCAGCAAGCUCAUUGGUAAUAGUUAGUCAAAGCGAAAGUUUUGGAUAAGGAGCUUCAAAAUUCUACAGUGAGGAGAGCAAGAACAUCUUGGUAUGAUAAAGCUUAUUAUUUUGCAUAUUUUUCUAUAUUUUUCUUCAAUUUUGUAGUAUUGUUUUCCUCUUUAUUGACAUAGGAAGUCAGUAAAAUUUUUUAAUUUUAAUUUGCAAAUAAACUAUGAUCUUUCUUUGUUAUUAAUUCUUUUCUUGUAUUGGUUGUAGAUGAAUUCCUUCCAUAAUUGCAAUUGAAUUUAAAAUAACCAUAUAAUUAAUAAUCACGGCAAAUUAAAUUAUGAGAAUCAUCAUUUAUAAUUAUGGAUUCUAACUGAUUUGUUAUUUUUAAAUUAAUUUGCAUAUUUUUGGAAGUAAGUGUGUUAAUUGAAGUGCUAAAUUUUUUAGUAAGAAGUAUUAGUGUCUAGAUAUGAAGUUUAGAACAGUUCAUUAUUUAUGAUUUUUGUUGUUGGGGCUCAAUUUUAUGAAGCUAAUCGUUCCUUUUUACUCUAAUGUUUAUAGUUGAGGCUGAAGUUCUUGUUCCUUAUUUUAUCUUUUUUUUUUAACACAUGGGUUAUAAUCAUACAGAUUAUGAUAUAAUGGACAAAAGUUGGAUAAGUAAGCCGAGAAAUGAUAAUGCGUACAUUGAUGGUGUUAGAAAUUUUAUUAAAUUUGCUAUGGAAAAAUCAUCGAUAAAUGGCAAGAUCUUAUGCCCAUGUCGAAAGUGUUACAACAAUUCUUCUUUUGUUCCAGAAGUUGUCGAAGAACAUUUAGUGUGGAACGGUUUUUUAUUAGGUUACAAUGUUUGGGUAUUUCAUGGAGAGUCAUUUGUGACAUCUCCAAGUGAAAUCGAAUGCCCUUCAUUUGCUCCAGGGUCUACUAAUGCACAAGAAAGUAGUUCAAGACAAGAUGGUCUAGGAGGAUUGCUACAAGAUGUCUUUGGAAUUAUGGGUACUAAUUUGAAUACUGAACAAGUAAUGAAUGAGACUAUUCCUAAUAAUUUAGAAGAAUGUAAUGACGAGGCGUCUGCUAGCGGAUUUCUUGGUGAGCAAAAUUUAAAUGAGCGGUCAAUGCAUUCAUCACCUAGUGAAACAAUUCGAUACAAAAACUUGGUGAAAGAUUGUGAUCAAGAAUUAUAUCCAGGUUGUAAAAAUUAUUCCAAGAUAUCAUUCAUUCUCCGCUUAUUCCACCUCAAAUGCUUAAAUGGGUGGUCUGGAAAAUCCUUUACAAUGUUGCUUCAAUUAUUAAAGGAUUCAUUUCCUAAAGGCACCUCUUUGCCGUCAUCUUAUUAUGAAGCUAAAAAGCUAAUAAAAGAAUUGGGUCUUGGAUAUGAGAAGCUUCAUAUUUGCCCUAAUGAUUGUAUGUUAUAUUGGGGUGAGACGAUGAAUCAAGAGUAUUGUAAUGUGUGUGGAUCUUCACGGUGGACAAUGAACAAAGAUGAUGAUGGUGGUUCUGAUGAUUUGAGAAGAAAAAAAAAGCCGGCCAAAAUAUUACGCUAUUUUCCUUUGAUACCAAGAUUAAAAAGAAUUUAUAUGUCAUCUAAAAUUGCUUCAUUAAUGAGAUGGCAUGAUGAAGGUCGCAUUAAAGAUGGAAUCUUGAGACACCCAGCAGAUGGCCUCGCGUGGAAAUCAUUUGAUGAUCAUUAUCUUGAUUUUUCUUCCGAUCCUCGUAGUGUUAGACUUGGUCUUGCUAGCGAUGGAUUCAAUCCUUUCCGAACAAUGAGUACCACUUAUAGCACUUGGCCGGUGAUAUUGAUUCCUUAUAAUUUACCUCCGUGGUUAUGUAUGAAACAAUCAUCAUUCAUCCUAUCAAUGGUCAUCCCCGGUGAAAAAGGUCCAGGUAAUGAUAUUGAUAUUUAUUUGCAACCUUUAAUAGCGGAGUUAAAACAAUUAUGGAAUGGUGUUGAUGCUUUUGAUGCUUCUACUAAGCAAAACUUUAUCAUGAAAGCAGCUCUUAUGUGGACUAUUAAUGAUUUUCCUGCCUAUGCUAAUUUAUCCGGUUGGAGCACAAAGGGGCGUGUUGCUUGCCCUUGUUGUGGGGUUUCAACCGAUUCACGUUGGUUGAAGCAUAGUAAGAAGUUUUGUUAUAUGGGUCAUCGUCGAUGGUUAGAACCAAAUCAUUCGUUUCGAUAUCAACAAAAUCAAUUUGAUGGUACUAUAGAGUUGCGUUCCGCUCCAAUAUCACCAUUUGGAAUUGAUGUCCUAAGGCAACUAGAGGGCACAAGUUAUAAAUAUGGCAAAGGCUCAAAAUCUUCUAAGAAAAGGAUGAGAGAGGAAGUUGCUAGUUCUGCAAAUCAAGUAGUGGAUGAAGUUGGCACUACAAAUCAAGUAAGAGUGUUUGAAGAUGCCGAUGAGUUCAUUGGGGAUGGCCAUGACACUACAAGAAAAGAUAUUAUUGGUGGCAAAAAUAAUGUGGCGAUAAAUUUUAUCACCACUAUAUAGUUACUUUUUGUGGCGAUAAAAAAAAAUUACCACCGAUUAAUUAACUAAAAGUGGCAAUACUACUUUCGCCACUAAAUGAUUAUUUUAUCGCCACUAUUUGGUUAUCUACGGUGGCAAUAAAAAGAGUGGCCAUCGAUUAAUUAACUUAAAGUGGUGAUACUACUUUCGCCACUAAAUAAUUAAUUUAUCGCCACUAAAUCGUUAUUUAUGAUGGCGAUAAAACAUAUUGCCACUAAUUAAUUAACUUAAAAUGGUAAUAAUACUUUCGCCACCAAAUGAUUAUUUUUAUCGCCAUUAUUUGGUUAUCUAUAGUGGCGAUAAAAAAUUUUUUCCACCAAUUAAUUAACUUUAAGUGGCGAUAAAAAAAUUUUGCCACCAAUUAAUUAACUUUAAGUGGCAAUACUACUUUCGCCACUAAAUGAUUAAUUUUUUACUACUAUUUGGUUAGCUAUAGUGAUGAUAAAAAAAAUUGACGCAUAUUAUUAAUAAAAUUAUAAUAAAAAUAAAAUAUUUAAAAUAUUUAUAUCAAAAUAAUGUAUAGUGAAGAUGAAAAAACUGUAGUUGUUAAAAAUUGAGGAUGAAAAUGUACAGAUCUAGACAUCUUCAACUUCAGAUCAUUUUGAAUUGCUCUAUAAAUUUUAAUUUUAUUUUGAUUCACACUUCUGAACUUUUUUUUAUUAUUUUAUUCUAGUUAAUUUAGUUAAAUUUUUAAAUUCAAGAGCUUUAUUAAUUAGUGUUUACCUAUUAAUUAUUUUCAUUUAUUUUUUAAAAAUUAAUUAAAUGUAACUUAAAUUAAUUAAUUAAUUAAUUAAUUACAAAUUAUUAAUUAAAUUAAAUUUUAAUUUUUAAUUUUUAAAAAUUAACUUAUUAUAUUUAAAAAUGAAAUUAAAUUAUUAGUUAAUUAAAGUAAAUUAUUUAAAAUUUAAUUAAAAUGACUAAAUUUUAAUCAAAUUUAGUCCCCAAACAAAAAUUAUAUGGUGAAUAAAAUAACUACGCGGGCACAGUCCCGUUUCUCUCUCUCUAACGUGAAUACCAGAGAUGGUUCUCUGGACCAUCUCUCGUAUUUUAGGAGUGUUGAUUUACUCGCAAAUUUUAGGAGCUUCCGCUUCUACUUCCGCAGUUCCACUUCCACGAGAGAAGCGCCGAGGAGAGCGAGGAAGACGAAGAGGCGAAAAUGGCGCUCCUAUGCUUCAUGCUCGAUCUCCGCAACAUCCCCCCUCCCCUCUUCCGCGAUCUCAAACAGGUGAUCGAUCCCUCUCCCUCUCGCUCUCCCUCUCUCCAUCGAUCGAUCGAUCGAUCUCUCGAUCGUGAAGUGCUGCUCUUGCUCCGAUCCUCAUCGAUCUCGCUCGAUCUCGUCGAGCAUCAUCUACGGAAUCCUCUCGUUUAAGCUUGUCGUUGUUGUAUGUUGUUGUUGUAGCCAGUGUUUGCUGCAGCUCGCGAAUCUCUACGUGGUGUCGUGGGGGAUAGGGGAGAGGGAGGGGGAGGCGGGUACGAAGGAGAUUCUCGCCCUACGAGAUCGGAUAGGUUUGUGCUACAUUGACAGAAGCAGGGCCCCUUCGUCCUCCGCCGAGGUCAGAGAUCAUCUUGCUUUCUGUUUUCUAAUUUUAGCUUAUUCCGCAAAUGGAAGUGAGAUUUUGGGUUUUAGGUAGUAGAAGAUCGGAAAAAGGAGAAGAGCAAAUUGACUUUAUGCUCCUCUAUAUCUUAUACAUCCAAGCGAUCAUUGAAUGAUAGGGUUUAAAACGGCCAUUAUUUGAUUCAGUACAUUCCUGCUCAAUUUCUAGAGAUGUUAUUGUUAAUGGAGUAAGGCAAUCCUCAGGUCAGAGUCAUUAAAAAUGAGUCAUGAUACAUUUUUCCUAGGGCCCUUGCCGCAAUUGGGAAAAAAAACAUUUUCCUAGAAAAUUAGCAAUGAUGCUCUUCAUGUAUGUCAAUCUUUAAUUAACCGCACACUGAAGUAACUCGAAGCAACAUUUUUAAUAUUAAAACGGCCAUCCAAUUGAUAGCAGAGUCGCUGAUAAAAUGAGGAAAUCAUGUCCUCUUACCUUCCAAGAACUAGAGGCUUCAGAUCUCAUUGAUAAUGCAGUAAAGGUUGGAGAACAAACUAUCUUGUUUCUUAGCUCUUUUGAAGGGGAUUCAGACCUCUGACGAGUUUCUGCACCGAUAACUUUCAAUGUAAUUGAUCGAACAAACUUGGCAUCCCUAGAUGAAGGUAAUAAACUUGGCAUCCCUAGAUGAAGGUAAACCUUACUAAUGGUGAAAAGGAGAUUGAGCAUCUGAAUUAUCGAUUAUGUAAGAAAUUGAGUUUUAGAAGGGGUAGAUAUGUGAAAUACUGGAUGUUGCAACAAUAGAUUAAUGGAAAUGAAGGGGGCUCUAUACGUUGAUAUAAGUUUUAAAGUUAUUGCAUUAGUCAGUACAUUAAUUUUGGAGUAUUGUCAUUGGUGAAUUGUCCAAAAUGAUUAUAAAGUUCUGUGUGAACAAUUAUGGCAUCUUCACCUUUGUCCUUAUUUUUACUUACAGACGUAAAGCAUUCCACUCUUAAGAUGUGAUGGCAAUAGCUAAUGAUGCUUCUGUAGUCUCUGUAAGUAUCAAAAUACAGUUAAAUGUUAGGGGGGUGUAGUGUCUCCAAGUGUGACAUUUCGAGGGCUGGCGAAAAAGAAUUAUGACUGAGUGAAUUGUUUUUUUUCACUAUUCACUUCAAAGGAAAAGUAGAAAUUAUUUUCCUUCACUGGCUGCCGUUCAUGAUAUUUUGAAUCAUCUGCUGUUUCCAAGUUAUCUAAAAUCUGAAUCAUUGUCAAUAGGUGUGAUAGUGGGGACAUCCUAUGUGGUUACUCCCAGUUCUCAUGACAUUGAAGCUACCCUGGAUGAAUGUGAUUAGUCGGAUCUGAAUACUCAACGUGAGUCGACUACAUUCUCAACUUUGAUUCAACUUCUGCAACUUGCUAUCAUAUCUUUCUUCCUUUAAUGUAAUGCAGUUUUUUAUGGUCUUUGUGGAGCUCUUUACCGUCUAGAUCAGGGACUUGUAUGCUAUUCAACAUGUAAUAUGGAAACCAUAAGAGAUGGCUCCUUCCUAUGUUAUUAUAUUCUUCAACCUUCAGAUAAGGGGCUAAUGCUUCUAAGGGUAUUCAACUUUAUAUCUUGUCAAUCUUUCAUUAUUUCAACAUGUAAUAUGGAAAUAAUCUUUCAUUAUUUCAUUAUUUCAUUAAUGUUAGUUGUGUAAAUUUGAAGAUUAUCUAAAUCUACGUAGUUGAGCCUUAAAUGCUCAAAACAUUUACUUGUUUCUUACUUGUGUCAUACCAUAUCAUGUUGUGUCAUUUUCAGCUAGCCGGGCCUUGUGGUGAUGAUUUAUUGUUUAAUUUAUAUAAUUUGCUCAUCUUUCUUUUGUUUGUUGCAGGAAAUGAAUUGCUGUUGAAAUAGGAGCUGAAGCAUUUUUUUUAUCGUUUUUAAGUAUUUUUUAUUUUCAAAGUUGAUAGAGUUAGGAAUAAUGUUGAACUGUAUAUCGAAUAUUAUUACUCUAUUGCCUUUAAAUUGAUUUUGCUAUUAUUUUGUUUUUAAGCUCUUGUGGAUCAGAAGUCAAUUAGCUUUUUAAAUUGUUGUUAAAAGAAUAAUUUUGUUUACUUAAAUAUUUUGUUUGUUAUUUUGUAUAUGUUCUAUUUAUAAAAUAUAAGCUGUAUUUUUUAUAUUUAGUUUAUUGCCUUUUUAUUAUUGGUGGCUAUUUAUUGCACAGUUGGUGGCGACAAAAAAUUGCCUUUUUUUUUUUUUUUACUAAGGUGGCAACUGUAAUGGUUGCCACUUAAGGUAAAUAUUUGGUGGCGAAAAUGUAUUGCCACCUUAUCUCUAUGAAAGGUGGCGACUAAGAAGGGCCAUUAAAAAGUCAUAUUUGAUGGCGACAAAAUGUCGUCACGUUAUCUUUAAUAAGGUGGCGAUUAAUAAUUGCCAUUAAAAGUUAUAUUUGGUGGCGACAAAAUGUCGCCACACUACCUUUAAUAAGGUGGCGACUAAUAAUGGCCACUAAAAGUCAUAUUUCGUGGCGAUAAAAUAUCGCCACGCUAUUUUCAAAAAGGUGGCGAUUUUUCAUGCUUCGCCACAAUUUCAUUUAGCGGCAACACUUUCGGUGGCAGCUUGUGGCGACUUUNUUCACUACAAGGAAAUGGAGCUCUACCGACGUUUUUUUAGGGAUGCUUCGUUUGAGCGUCGGCAAAUCCCAAUUUAUCUCCUAAAUUAUCGAUGCUUAGGGUAAGCGUCGACGAAAUAAAAUUUUAGGCGCUGAAAUAAUUAAGUGCCCGCGAAACGCUACGCCCGCGAAACGCCCGCAUAGCGCGAAAACAUAGCGCCAAAAGUGAUAAAAAAAAAAACCCUAAGCCUCAUAUUAGUUCUAUUUUCACAUUUCCUCUGUCACUACAUGCCUUUUUCCAUUCCCACCUUCCUUCACAGGUGAAGAAGAAGGUGAUCUCCCGCAUCCAUCGCUGCGCCCUCUCCCGCCUCUGCCGCCGCUCCCACUUCUCCGCCCAAUCCCACCGCCAAUUCGUCUAGGGCGCCCAGCUCCUCGCCCGCGCCCGCUCCUUCUCCAUUUCCUCCGCCUCCACCUCCACCUCCGCCCUCGCCCACUCCGCCAUCGCAGAGGCCGCUGCUGCCCUCGACGCUUGCGAUGCCGCGCCCCACAUCUUGAAGGCCCUCGCCCUCGACCUCUUCGGCCACCGCCUCCCCUUGCUCCGAUCUCUCGACGCCGCCCUCUCCCACCAGCCACCAAAUCCCUUUCCCCCAACGAGUGUGGCAACGCCCUCUUCAAGUGCGCCUGGAUCCAGCUCGCCCUCAACCACCAACGCUGCCUCGACGCAGCCCUCGCCGACCUCCUCGACACCGCGCGCAGGGCUUAUGGAUGGAAUGAGAAACUUGAAUGAGCUUCUGGAGCUGGAUGCAGAAGCUCUGAUAUGAAGUUUAGCUUCAGCAGGAAUCUUCUGGUACUUACUAAUUAAAAAACUUGUAGGGCUUUUCUAAAGAAUCUACUCAAAGAGCAUUGAUUUCUAUAGAAGGUCUAUAUAGGCCCCAAGUUUAUGAGUCUGAGUUUUGAAACAUAUUGUGAAUUAAAAGUAGUGACAGAGUCUGUCAACCUCCAGAUUUUGAGAAAUAGUAUGUGCAGAAUGAAGCAAAAUAAUAGUUAUAUCUUAAAAUUUGCAUUCAUUUACCCAAGUAUCCUUCCGCUAUUGAAAAACAUGGUCGUAUUAAAAAGGUAGUUGAUACUAAAUUUUAAUAGGCCACACUCUUCUUUUGAAAAGAUAGGUGCUUAAAUUAUCUGGAAAGCAUGAGAAGUAGGUGACAUAUUUAGGCCUUGUUUUGUUAUGCAUCAAUUUUACAUUUUUUUCCCCUUUUUUUUCUCUUUCACUUAAUUCCAUGCUUUGCGUAGUCUGAUGACAGAUUGUUUGCAAUCUCUGCAACAUUGGUGUUUGUUUUUUUUUUUUUAAGUAGUAGGAACAAUUAUCUCUAAGGCCUUUGCCAUCCUCGGCGAGUGCUACCAGCACAAGGGAUCCGUCGAGGCUGCACGGUGCACCUUCGACCCUGCCAUUUGGAUUGACGCCUGCUUGGAAUUGGCUCGGCAGGACCUACAGAGGCUAUCCGGAUCCAGAGGCAGAGACAUGAGCAGCUGAGUAAGGGUUUUCUUCCCCUGUCCCUCUCCGUCUUUCUUGUUUUUGUUCCAUUUCGUGUAGGGUUUUUGAAAGUUGGAUUGUUCAAUUUCUCUUUCGAUUUCUUUACAGGACAAGAAGGCUCCAUAGCUCAAGCUCUCUCUUCGAUCUCAUUAUUGAGGACAUGAGAUCCGGUCCAUCCAUAGUUCGAAUACCAGUCCCUUGCUGAACCCAGCCUCUUCUUACAGGAAUUUCCAUUGAUAACUUGUGAUGCUGCAUUUACUCCCUCAACUGCCAAAGUUGUUCUUGGUACGUAGAUUGAGACAUUGGAUUGCAAACUAUUACUGUAAAACUCAUAACGAGUUUCGGAUCCGAUCCAUACCGCGGGGGGCUCCGCCCCCCGCACCCCCUGGCGAAUGUCAGUGGUGGGCUACGGGCUCGGGCCUGUCGGCCCGAGCCCUCCGCUACCCACCACAGACAUUCAUUUUUCCUCCAUAUUUUUCUUUUUCAAUUUGGUCGCACCGCGAAACAGUCGGCGAAUCAAAAAUCCGAACUUGAGUCGAAUAUUAAUUUCGAGUCACAUCUAACAAUAUGCUCCAAAAUUUUUUUUGGUUUCUAAAACAUCUUUGCUUCUUUUUUGCGUAAAAUAUUUAGAUAGAACAAACUCUGAAAAAAUGAAGUCUAAUAGAAUUUGUUGGACUGAUCUAACGGUUUGUAUGGUCUUAGAUGCUUGACGUUUGUUAGCAGAUGCCCAUAGCAGAAUUCUUAUGAACUCCCACACAAGGUUAAUUGCUUGAUUGAAUCUUCCAUCAUUUGUCAUUCAACCUUAGCAAGUUGUAGGUACUGAUUGUAGAAAUUUUUGUGUUGUUCUACCAACUCAUUAGCCACCACUUUGUUAGGAAAGAGCUUAAUUGAAUUAAUAUGCUUGAAGUUCUUUUUCCGUCGUUUAACAAUGUACUUUGAUAGAAUUUUAACCACACCUUGAUAAUUUAGCACCGAGAGCACAUGCCUACCUGAAAUACCUUGAAUUGAAAAUAGCAACAAAAUAUAGCUAAAUUCAAACUCAUUUUCACUGUAAAGAACCUCAUAGCUCUUUUGCUAUAAGGCUAAACCAUCUUUCACUCUUGUAUGGUCUAUUACCUCAAAGAAGGAUACUAAUCCAUCAACUUUCACUAGCGAAGGGGUGCAAUAGGUCAAAAUCUUGAUCUCUUCUUGGAAUGUUAAACAUUUCCAAUAUUGUGUAAACCUUGCAUAAUUGCUGUUUCAUGUAAAAUUGUAUUACUAAUUGAAGGCCUAUACUCUAUAUGCACAUGAGAAAAAAGAUCUAAUUUUUUUAGAUUGUAGUGUUUAACAUAGUAAAAU
rnacentral:lncRNA from 1 species